rfam:Dipodomys ordii contig_20448, whole genome shotgun sequence.
GGUGGCUCAGUGGUAGAGUGCUUGCCUUGCAAGCAUGAGGCCCUGGGUUCAAUUCCUCAGUACCA